rnacentral:rRNA from 1 species
GUCGAGGGGCAUCACGGGGUAGCAAUACUUUGGUGGCGACCGGCGUACGGGUGCGUAACACGUAUGCAACCUUCCUGUAAGUGUGGGAUAGCCUCCUGAAAGGGAGAUUAAUACCGCAUGAUAUGUAUUUGCUGCAUGGUAGAUACAUUAAACAUUUAUGGCUUACAGAUGGGCAUGCGUUCCAUUAGGCAGUUGGUGGGGUAACGGCUCACCAAACCUACGAUGGAUAGGGGUUCUGAGAGGAAGGUCCCCCACACUGGAACUGAGACACGGUCCAGACUCCUACGGGAGGCAGCAGUGAGGAAUAUUGGUCAAUGGGCGUAAGCCUGAACCAGCCAAGUCGCGUGAAGGAUGACUGCCUCAUGGGUUGUAAACUUCUUUUACAGGGGAAUAAAUUGAGUCACGUGUGAUUUUUUGCAUAUACCCUGUGAAUAAGCAUCGGCUAACUCCGUGCCAGCAGCCGCGGUAAUACGGAGGAUGCGAGCGUUAUCCGGAUUUAUUGGGUUUAAAGGGUGCGUAGGCGGGAUAUUAAGUCAGCGGUGAAAUUUUUCGGCUCAACCGUGAAAUUGCCGUUGAAACUGUUAUUCUUGAGUGCAGAAGAGGUAGGCGGAAUUCGUUGUGUAGCGGUGAAAUGCGUAGAUAUAACGAAGAACACCAAUUGCGUA